UACGGGGGGUGCGAGCGUUGUCCGGAAUCACUGGGCGUAAAGGGCGCGUAGGUGGUUUGAUAAGGGUGUGGUGAAAGCCCGGGGCUCAACCCCGGGUCUGCCGUGCCGACUGUCAAACUCGAGGGCUGUAGAGGCAGACGGAAUUCCGGGUGGUAGCGGUGGAAUGCGUAGAGAGUCCGGAGGAAGACCGGUGGCGAAGGCGGUCUGCUGGGCAGUUUCUGACACUGAGGCGCGGACAGCGUGGGGAGCAAACAGGG
rnacentral:rRNA from 1 species